CAAUAUUCUACUUAACAAAACUUACUACCCACAAGGUAGACAAAUUUAUAUACAAAGUUAUUGUCUGUGAAACAAAUGAAGCAUUGCUGAGAUUCAAAAAAAUAGCCCUUAAGUAUUUAUUAAUAAAUGAAGGACAUAGUGUGAAAAAAGAUAGAUAGAUACAGUAGUCACUCAACAUUCCAAUAGAGGCAUAUGUAGUCCCAAGAGGACUGAGUCCAAAAACUAUCCACAAUAAAAUUUUUAUUUGUGUCAGUGAAUUAAUUACAUUAACAAAUUAGUUGUCAACCUAUGCAAGAAUGGACGAGAUGACUAAUGACCUAAAGAUUAACUAAUGAAUAGAAAGUAGUUACUGAAAAUUUCUAGACGAAGAAAAAGUAUAUUACACUAGUUUUAAAUGAUCAGUUUUGCUUCUGGUUCAAAAUAUUUAAAUCAGUUUACUAAACAUACUCUCUUUAGAAAGAAUCCAAAGAAGUGUCAGCAUCCUCACACUGAAGCCUUGUUAACAAAUGUAACAACCUUUCAUUGCAUUUGUCGGCAUCUAGAGCAUUGUACGUAUCAUGGCUCAUAUUCUAAAAGCAAAGAGAG
rnacentral:misc_RNA from 1 species